GGUCAAGUCCUGUGCAACGGGAAUCUUCCGAACCCCGCCAGAUCCGGAAGGAAGCAACGGUACGAAGUCAUUCUCGUGUGACACAGGUUAGCUUGACCUCG
rnacentral:SRP_RNA from 1 species